rnacentral:rRNA from 1 species
UACGGAGGAUGCGAGCGUUAUCCGGAUUUAUUGGGUUUAAAGGGUGCGUAGGCGGUCCGUUAAGUCAGCGGUAAAAUUGCGGGGCUCAACCCCGUCCGGCCGUUGAAACUGGGGGCCUUGAGUGAGCGAGAAGUAUGCGGAAUGCGUGGUGUAGCGGUGAAAUGCAUAGAUAUCACGCAGAACCCCGAUUGCGAAGGCAGCAUACCGGCGCUCAACUGACGCUGAGGCACGAAAGUGCGGGUAUCGAACAGG